rnacentral:ncRNA from 1 species
CCAGUGCUCUGAGUGUCAAAGUGAAGAAAUUCAAUCAAGUGCGGGUAAACG